rnacentral:rRNA from 1 species
CCUACGGGAGGCAGCAGUGAGGAAUAUUGGUCAAUGGACGCAAGUCUGAACCAGCCAUGCCGCGUGCAGGAAGACGGCUCUAUGAGUUGUAAACUGCUUUUGUACGAGGGUAAACGCAGAUACGCGUAUCUGUCUGAAAGUAUCGUACGAAUAAGGAUCGGCUAACUCCGUGCCAGCAGCCGCGGGAAUUCGGAGGAUUCAAGCGUUAUCCGGAUUUAUUGGGUUUAAAGGGUGCGUAGGCGGUCGGAUAAGUUAGAGGUGAAAGCCCGAGGCUCAACUUCGGAAUUGCCUCUGAUACUGUUCGGCUAGAGAGUAGUUGCGGUAGGCGGAAUGUAUGGUGUAGCGGUGAAAUGCUUAGAGAUCAUACAGAACACCGAUUGCGAAGGCAGCUUACCAAGCUACUUCUGACGUUGAGGCACGAAAGCGUGGGGAGCAAACAGGAUUAGAUACCCCUGUAGUC